GAUGAACGCUGGCGGCGUGCUUAACACAUGCAAGUCGAACGAAGCAUUUGCGACAGAUUUUUUCGGAAUGAAGUUGCUUAUGACUGAGUGGCGGACGGGUGAGUAACGCGUGGGUAACCUGCCUUGUACUGGGGGAUAGCAGCUGGAAACGGCUGGUAAUACCGCAUAAGCGCACAAUGUUGCAUGACAUGGUGUGAAAAACUCCGGUGGUAUAAGAUGGACCCGCGCCUGAUUAGCUAGUUGGUGAGAUAACAGCCCACCAAGGCGACGAUCAGUAGCCGACCUGAGAGGGUGACCGGCCACAUUGGGACUGAGACACGGCCCAGACUCCUACGGGAGGCAGCAGUGGGGAAUAUUGCACAAUGGAGGAAACUCUGAUGCAGCGACGCCGCGUGAGUGAAGAAGUAAUUCGUUAUGUAAAGCUCUAUCAGCAGGGAAGAUAGUGACGGUACCUGACGAAGAAGCUCCGGCUAAAUACGUG
rnacentral:rRNA from 1 species